ACCUUGAACUAAAGCAGCUUGUCAUAGUGUUAGUGAGAGCUUAGACAUCAAAGAAGCAGCUGAAAUCAAUUCAGAAAUGGAUCAGAGGAAAAAUUAUGGUUUUAUGUUUGUGCUUCUCAUGAUUUUUGCCUUACAAAUGGAAAUGAUGGCACAAGUAGAAGCAAGAGUUUGCAUGUCACCUAGCCAUGGAUAUCAUGGUCCCUGUUGGCAUGAUCACAACUGUGCUCUUGUUUGCAGAAAUGAAGGCUUCUCUGGUGGUGACUGUGUUGGUAUACAACGCAAAUGCUAUUGCACUAAGCUUUGUUAAUUAAUUUCUAUCUCAAUGGAACCACUAAUUUCUAUCUGUUUUUUCCUUUCCUUUUGAAAAAUGGGCUUGCUUUCGUAUCCUCAAAUGUUCUCUUUGGAAGGAUAUUUAUGAUGCUUUUUUGUAGCCUUUCUUAAUCAUUCAAUGAAGAUUUUCAAUUCAUCUUUGCUGAAUUUCA